UUAAGUUAUUAAGGGCGCACGGUGGAUGCCUUGGCACUAGAAGCCGAUGAAGGACGUUACUAACGACGAUAUGCUUUGGGGAGCUGUAAGUAAGCUUUGAUCCAGAGAUUUCCGAAUGGGGAAACCCAGCAUGAGUUAUGUCAUGUUAUCGAUAUGUGAAUACAUAGCAUAUCAGAAGGCACACCCGGAGAACUGAAACAUCUUAGUACCCGGAGGAAGAGAAAGAAAAUUCGAUUCCCUUAGUAGCGGCGAGCGAAACGGGAAGAGCCCAAACCAACAAGCUUGCUUGUUGGGGUUGUAGGACACUCUAUACGGAGUUACAAAGGACGACAUUAGACGAAUCAUCUGGAAAGAUGAAUCAAAGAAGGUAAUAAUCCUGUAGUCGAAAAUGUUGUCUCUCUUGAGUGGAUCCUGAGUACGACGGAGCACGUGAAAUUCCGUCGGAAUCUGGGAGGACCAUCUCCUAAGGCUAAAUACUCUCUAGUGACCGAUAGUGAACCAGUACCGUGAGGGAAAGGUGAAAAGCACCCCGGAAGGGGAGUGAAAUAGAACCUGAAACCGUGUGCUUACAAGUAGUCAGAGCCCGUUAAUGGGUGAUGGCGUGCCUUUUGUAGAAUGAACCGGCGAGUUACGAUUUGAUGCAAGGUUAAGCAGUAAAUGUGGAGCCGUAGCGAAAGCGAGUCUGAAUAGGGCGUUUAGUAUUUGGUCGUAGACCCGAAACCAGGUGAUCUACCCUUGGUCAGGUUGAAGUUCAGGUAACACUGAAUGGAGGACCGAACCGACUUACGUUGAAAAGUGAGCGGAUGAACUGAGGGUAGCGGAGAAAUUCCAAUCGAACCUGGAGAUAGCUGGUUCUCUCCGAAAUAGCUUUAGGGCUAGCCUCAAGUGAUGAUUAUUGGAGGUAGAGCACUGUUUGGACGAGGGGCCCCUCUCGGGUUACCGAAUUCAGACAAACUCCGAAUGCCAAUUAAUUUAACUUGGGAGUCAGAACAUGGGUGAUAAGGUCCGUGUUCGAAAGGGAAACAGCCCAGACCACCAGCUAAGGUCCCAAAAUAUAUGUUAAGUGGAAAAGGAUGUGGCGUUGCCCAGACAACUAGGAUGUUGGCUUAGAAGCAGCCAUCAUUUAAAGAGUGCGUAAUAGCUCACUAGUCGAGUGACACUGCGCCGAAAAUGUACCGGGGCUAAACAUAUUACCGAAGCUGUGGAUUGUCCUUUGGACAAUGGUAGGAGAGCGUUCUAAGGGCGUUGAAGCAUGAUCGUAAGGACAUGUGGAGCGCUUAGAAGUGAUAAUGCCGGUGUGAGUAGCGAAAGACGGGUGAGAAUCCCGUCCACCGAUUGACUAAGGUUUCCAGAGGAAGGCUCGUCCGCUCUGGGUUAGUCGGGUCCUAAGCUGAGGCCGACAGGCGUAGGCGAUGGAUAACAGGUUGAUAUUCCUGUACCACCUAUAAUCGUUUUAAUCGAUGGGGGGACGCAGUAGGAUAGGCGAAGCGUGCGAUUGGAUUGCACGUCUAAGCAGUAAGGCUGAGUAUUAGGCAAAUCCGGUACUCGUUAAGGCUGAGCUGUGAUGGGGAGAAGACAUUGAGUCUUCGAGUCGUUGAUUUCACACUGCCGAGAAAAGCCUCUAGAUAGAAAAUAGGUGCCCGUACCGCAAACCGACACAGGUAGUCAAGAUGAGAAUUCUAAGGUGAGCGAGCGAACUCUCGUUAAGGAACUCGGCAAAAUGACCCCGUAACUUCGGGAGAAGGGGUGCUCUUUAGGGUUAACGCCCAGAAGAGCCGCAGUGAAUAGGCCCAAGCGACUGUUUAUCAAAAACACAGGUCUCUGCUAAACCGUAAGGUGAUGUAUAGGGGCUGACGCCUGCCCGGUGCUGGAAGGUUAAGAGGAGUGGUUAGCUUCUGCGAAGCUACGAAUCGAAGCCCCAGUAAACGGCGGCCGUAACUAUAAAGGUCCUAAGGUAGCGAAAUUCCUUGUCGGGUAAGUUCCGACCCGCACGAAAGGCGUAACGAUUUGGGCACUGUCUCAACGAGAGACUCGGUGAAAUCAUAGUACCUGUGAAGAUGCAGGUUACCCGCGACAGGACGGAAAGACCCCGUGGAGCUUUACUGUAGCCUGAUAUUGAAAUUCGGCACAGCUUGUACAGGAUAGGUAGGAGCCUUUGAAACGUGAGCGCUAGCUUACGUGGAGGCGCUGGUGGGAUACUACCCUAGCUGUGUUGGCUUUCUAACCCGCACCACUUAUCGUGGUGGGAGACAGUGUCAGGCGGGCAGUUUGACUGGGGCGGUCGCCUCCUAAAAGGUAACGGAGGCGCUCAAAGGUUCCCUCAGAAUGGUUGGAAAUCAUUCAUAGAGUGUAAAGGCAUAAGGGAGCUUGACUGCGAGACCUACAAGUCGGGCAGGGUCGAAAGACGGACUUAGUGAUCCGGUGGUUCCGCAUGGAAGGGCCAUCGCUCAACGGAUAAAAGCUACCCCGGGGAUAACAGGCUUAUCUCCCCCAAGAGUUCACAUCGACGGGGAGGUUUGGCACCUCGAUGUCGGCUCAUCGCAUCCUGGGGCUGUAGUCGGUCCCAAGGGUUGGGCUGUUCGCCCAUUAAAGCGGUACGCGAGCUGGGUUCAGAACGUCGUGAGACAGUUCGGUCCCUAUCCGUCGUGGGCGUAGGAAAUUUGAGAGGAGCUGUCCUUAGUACGAGAGGACCGGGAUGGACAUACCUCUGGUGUACCAGUUGUCGUGCCAACGGCAUAGCUGGGUAGCUAUGUGUGGACGGGAUAAGUGCUGAAAGCAUCUAAGCAUGAAGCCCCCCUCAAGAUGAGAUUUCCCAACUUCGGUUAUAAGAUCCCUCAAAGAUGAUGAGGUUAAUAGGUUCGAGGUGGAAGCAUGGUGACAUGUGGAGCUGACGAAUACUAAUCGAUCGAAGACUUAAUCAA
rnacentral:rRNA from 1 species